rnacentral:rRNA from 1 species
CCUACGGGAGGCAGCAGUGGGGAAUAUUGGACAAUGGGGGAAACCCUGAUCCAGCGACGCCGCGUGAGUGAAGAAGUAUUUCGGUACGUAAAGCUCUAUCAGCAGGAAAGAAAAUGACGGUACCUGACUAAGAAGCCCCGGCUAACUACGUGCCAGCAGCCGCGGUAAUACGUAGGGGGCAAGCGUUAUCCGGAUUUACUGGGUGUAAAGGGGGCGUAGACGGCAGCGCAAGUCUGGAGUGAAAUGCCGGGGCCCAACCCCGGAACUGCUCUGGAAACUGUGCAACUGGAGUGCAGGAGAGGCAGGCGGAAUGCCUAGUGUAGCGGUGAAAUGCGUAGAUAUUAGGAGGAACACCAGUGGCGAAGGCGGCCUGCUGGACUGUAACUGACGUUGAGGCUCGAAAGCGUGGGGAGCAAACAGGAUUAGAUACCCCUGUAGUC